GCGCCCGUAGCUCAGCUGGAUAGAGCAACGCCCUUCUAAGGCGUGGGUCAUAAGUUCGAAUCUUAUCGGGCGUA
rnacentral:tRNA from 1 species